UGCAAGUCGAGCGGAACGAUCCUAGCUUGCUAGGAGGCGUCGAGCGGCGGACGGGUGAGUAAUGCAUAGGAAUCUGCCCGGUAGUGGGGGAUAACUUGAGGAAACUCAAGCUAAUACCGCAUACGCCCUACGGGGGAAAGCAGGGGCUCUUCGGACCUUGCGCUAUCGGAUGAGCUUAUGUCGGAUUAGCUGGUUGGUGAGGUAACGGCUCACCAAGGCGACGAUCCGUAGCUGGUCUGAGAGGAUGAUCAGCCACAUCGGGACUGAGACACGGCCCGAACUCCUACGGGAGGCAGCAGUGGGGAAUAUUGGACAAUGGGGGCAACCCUGAUCCAGCCAUGCCGCGUGUGUGAAGAAGGCCCUCGGGUUGUAAAGCACUUUCAGCGAGGAAGAAUGCUUGUCGGUUAAUACCCGGCAAGGGAGACAUCACUCGCAGAAGAAGCACCGGCUAACUCCGUGCCAGCAGCCGCGGUAAUACGGAGGGUGCGAGCGUUAAUCGGAAUUACUGGGCGUAAAGCGUGCGUAGGCGGCUUGAUAAGCCGGUUGUGAAAGCCCCGGGCUCAACCUGGGAACGGCAUCCGGAACUGUUAGGCUAGAGUGCAGGAGAGGAAGGUAGAAUUCCCGGUGUAGCGGUGAAAUGCGUAGAGAUCGGGAGGAAUACCAGUGGCGAAGGCGGCCUUCUGGACUGACACUGACGCUGAGGUACGAAAGCGUGGGUAGCAAACAGGAUUAGAUACCCUGGUAGUCCACGCCGUAAACGAUGUCGACUAGCCGUUGGGGUCCUCGAGACCUUUGUGGCGCAGUUAACGCACUAAGUCGACCGCCUGGGGAGUACGGCCGCAAGGUUAAAACUCAAAUGAAUUGACGGGGGCCCGCACAAGCGGUGGAGCAUGUGGUUUAAUUCGAUGCACGCGAAGA
rnacentral:rRNA from 1 species